CCACUCAAAAAUGAUGAUACAAUCACCUAUAUGCUUGCAGGACUUGGUCAGGAAUACGAUUCCUUGGCCUCCACCACUACCUCAAGAGUUGAUCCUGUCACCUUGGAGGAACUCUACUCCCUCCUUCUCAUAUGUGAAU